rnacentral:rRNA from 1 species
GACGAACGCUGGCGGCGUGCUUAACACAUGCAAGUCGAACGGAAAGGCCCUGCUUGCAGGGUACUCGAGUGGCGAACGGGUGAGUAACACGUGGGUGAUCUGCCCUGCACUUCGGGAUAAGCCUGGGAAACUGGGUCUAAUACCGGAUAGGAGCCAUUUUUAGUGUGAUGGUUGGAAAGUUUUUUGGGUGUGGGAUGAGCUGGCGGCCUAUCAGCGUGUUGGUGGGGUAAUGGCCUACCAAGGCGGCGAGGGGUAGCCGGCCUGUGGGGGUGGACGGCCACACUGGGACUGAGAUACGGCCCAGACGCCUACGGGAGGCAGCAGGGGGGAAGAUUGCUCAAUGGGCGCAAGCCUGAUGCAGCGACGCCGCGUGGGGGAUGACGGCCUUCGGGUUGUAAACUACUUUCGCUAGGGACGAAGCUUUUUGUGACGGUACCUAGAUAAGAAGCACCGGCUAACUACGUG